GCUUCCCUCUAGCAGCUAAUUUACUAAAAUUGAAAAAAUAUUGAACAUUAGCAUGGCUCCUGCACAAAGAUGUCAUGCAAAUUCAUGAAGCAAUCUAAAAAAGU